GGUGGCAUGGGGACCAGGACAGGCUGCUGCGGGCCAGGGGCAAACACGUCAGGCCUGGCCCCCAGUCCGCUGCUGCCCCUCCCUUUCACCUUCCAUCCAGCACUAAGGGAGUCUGGCCACGGCCUAAUAUAGGAGGGCUUGUGGAAGGAGACACCCACCCCCUCUUUCUGCACCUCUCCCCUCUUCCAUGCCACCCCCAGGCCAGGAGCCACCACAGCCCUGUCUGUGACUCUCAGCUCCCGAGGCUGGGCUCUUCCCCAGGGAAGCUGCAUGACCAUGGCCACAUACAGGAGGUAGGAGACAGAGGCCUCCACGGUGGACGAUCGUGGCGUGAAGUCCACGUUGACCACGUUGUCGGUGCUGGGGGAGCGGAUGAAGGCCAGGGACCCGCGGCGCUCUCCCUGUGGUCAGGAAGCAGCCCGGAGACCCUAAAACUCCAUUGGCCUCAUGUCCAGAACUGAAUCAGCAUCUUCUGUAUGACCUUUGUCCCGCUCCU
rnacentral:lncRNA from 1 species